ACAAGAUGGUUGAAUUAAUAAACGAUAAACUGUAAAUUUAUUUAUGAGUAAAUCUCUCUUGUA
rnacentral:tRNA from 1 species